GUAGUUGUAUGGAAAUUUCAACUCAAAAUCUUUGAAAUGAUACAAAGAAGAUUAGCAUGGCCCAUGUGCAAAGAUGACAUGCAAAUUUGUGAAGUGUUCAGUAUAUUU
ensembl:snRNA U6 U6 spliceosomal RNA